rnacentral:rRNA from 1 species
AUUGAACGCUGGCGGCAUGCUUUACACAUGCAAGUCGUACGGUAACAGGUUAAGCUGACGAGUGGCGAACGGGUGAGUAAUGCAUCGGAACGUGCCCGGUCGUGGGGGAUAACGCAGCGAAAGCUGCGCUAAUACCGCAUACGAUCUGAGGAUGAAAGCGGGGGACCGUAAGGCCUCGCGCGAUCGGAGCGGCCGAUGUCAGAUUAGGUAGUUGGUGGGGUAAAGGCUCACCAAGCCGACGAUCUGUAGCUGGUCUGAGAGGACGACCAGCCACACUGGGACUGAGACACGGCCCAGACUCCUACGGGAGGCAGCAGUGGGGAAUUUUGGACAAUGGGCGCAAGCCUGAUCCAGCAAUGCCGCGUGCAGGAAGAAGGCCUUCGGGUUGUAAACUGCUUUUGUACGGAACGAAAAGGCUCUCUCUAAUACAGGGAGCUCAUGACGGUACCGUAAGAAUAAGCACCGGCUAACUACGUGCCAGCAGCCGCAGUAA